rnacentral:lncRNA from 1 species
GCAUCAGCAUCGAAAGGAAAGGAGAAAGUCAUCGAGUACUAAAACGGGAGAAUUACGGUGUGUAUUACUAUAAUUCGAAUUUUAAUUAUUAUUGAUUGCUGAAUUUUUUUUAUUGUUAUGUAUGGUAAGUAAGACUUGAGGUAAGUAUGUGAAAUUGAUAUGAAUAUUGAGUGAAAAUGAAAGUGAUGCAAAUUGAAUCAAAUUGAAUUGAAUAAGUGAAUUAUGGAAGAUGUAAUUUUUUGAAAAGCGUAUUGAUUGAAAAAUGAUUGGUGAUUUGAAUUGUGAAUUGAAAGUGAUAUAGGAUUGAGAAAGUGAAUUGAAUACCCUAUUAACUAGUCGGGCUGAGUCGGAUAUAGUUGGCAUGCCAUAGGAUUGGAAGUGUUCAGUGAUACUUCGACCUCGAGUCGAUGAGACACUGGGUGUCACUAUAUUUCUUCGGAUAGAUUCGAUGAGGUACUGGGUACCAACUUUACUUCGGCUAGGCCGAUGAGACACUGGGUGUCAACUAUUACUUCGAACUAUCCGAUGAGGCACUGGGUGCCAUAUUGGUGUGUUUGGUUGGAUCCGUGUAUCCGCCAAAGUCCGAGUUACGUUAAUAGGGUGAAAAUUUGAAAUGUGAAUUUGAGGCAUUGAAACGAGAAAAAUAAAUUGAAUUACGAAUUAAAAUUGGAAUUGUGAUAAUAAGAGAAAAGUAUGAAAUGUAUAUUCAUAAGUGAUAUAAAUUUAAGUUUGAGAAAAUACAUUGAUUUAUGAAUUAGUACAUAUGACAUUAAUUGUUAGGUAUUUUAAUAUUUAUGUUUUUACUAUUGUUGAUAUAAUUUGAAUUAUGGUAAUAUCACUGAGUUUAUCCAUACUCAGCGUACGGUUGUUUCCGUGCGCAGGUUAGUAGAAGUCAAGUGUCCCGGUUCAGCAUCCAGAACAUUCCCGACUCCAACACAAAUUUGGUGAUGUAUAUUUUUCUUUUGGGUAAAGAUGGCAUGUACAUAGGUGUUAUAUAGUCACUUGAAUAUGUAUAUUACUUUGGGUAGUGAAGGUUGA